CUCACAGAACAUACACAGCUUCGGUUUCCACAACUCCUGUUUGGCAUGUAAAAACUUCCCGGAUUUCUGUUGAUAAUGGCUGGUACCCUUGUGAUCCGACUUACGAUCUUCCUCUGAUAUGGGGUUCCUCACACACCAUUUUCGCAGUGCUUCUACCAUCUCGGUAAAGCCCCACUCUUGCCAAUCAUCAUCCGACAGAACUAAGUCUACCCG
rnacentral:lncRNA from 1 species